rnacentral:rRNA from 1 species
AGCGAGACAGGGUGAUAGCCCCGUAUGCGAAAGUAAGCAAUCUCCCGUGCAGGAUCCUGAGUACGGCCGGACACGUGAAAUCCGGUCGGAAUCCGCGAGGACCAUCUCGCAAGGCUAAAUACUCCCUAGUGACCGAUAGUGAACCAGUACCGUGAGGGAAAGGUGAAAAGCACCCCGGAAGGGGAGUGAAAAAGUUCCAAUAUAUAGUUAGGUUGAAGGUAGACGUUGUGAACUGAAACAUCUCAUUAGCAACAGGAAUAGAAAGAAAAAUCGAUUCCGCCAGUAGCGGCGAGCGAAAACGGAAGAGCCCAAACCAAAGUGCUUGCACUUUGGGGUUGUAGGACUGCCAUUGUGGAGUUACAAAAUUGUUUAUUAGCAGAAUCAGCUGGGAAGCUCUGUAAGUAAGCUUUGAUCCGGAGAUUUCCGAAUGGGGGAACCCAACUUGUUAUGCAAGUUAUCAC